rnacentral:lncRNA from 1 species
UAUGAUUUGUGAGAGAAAGGUGGUGAGAAAUCUGAAAAAUAUCAAGUGCUGUGCGUCGUGGUCGUAUUGAGUGGACGGAGAAGUCAUUUUUAUAGAUUCGUGAUGUGACAGACGAUCAACAGCUAUUGCAGUCAACACGUUGUGAUAGAGGGCGCUGUACAUCGUCCCUACGCGACACAAGGCGAGAGACGACCCGGGAACCUCGUAUGGUCCACAGCCGCUACACACAGGCGACAGAGGAAUGCGAUGGCCCUAGACAGGAAUCGCCGAGUGUCUGCCGCCUAACGCUCCCUUUGUCGCCGCCGCCACCGCCGCCGCCGUUACCACUGGCUUAACCUUUAGAGCACGAUGAGCUACAAUCGUGACUUGCCAGGAAAGUAUUACGUUUGUUGCAGAAGUUCAAGCUUUCUCCUUUCCAUGUAUAGGUUUCUUGGUCUAAUGUUUACCCGAGAGCAGCAGCAAUAAUAAUAAAUCACCCACUGUCGUCUUUGUUGUCUUCAGUUAUUGGGCAGUCUUUGUAAUACUUAUACUUUCAUGCAGUACUAAGAGGGUUAAAGGUUGCGUAAAUAUAUUAAAAAGAAAAAAUCCAACAUAAUCACAAGGAGGCCCACGUCUGUAUCACUUAUGGGGCACAAAGGGCAGCGUCACUGAUGAGGAAACUGUUCGAUGACAGCUCUAAAACUGAUGCUGAAACAUAACAGCUGCCCUCUGUCUCGGUGACUGUGACGAGCGACAGUCAUCACUGUAGGAACCUGAGGCUCUUCUUUUCAGGGGCCGUGGUUAUAAAACGAGGGUAAGUCGUUUCGGGACAUAGAGGAAAUCAAGAGCAAACAUUUGUCUCCAUAGUUAUAAAUCGGUGUCCAGACCUCGCCCACGUUGCUGUACCCCGGAGACCGUAGCUAUGAAGCAGCGGAAAAAAGCCAUGAGGUAAAGUAAUGUUAGACAAUAUUGGCGAGGUUCAGCACCAUAUCUACAGAGACAAUACGUUUGUUUUUGAUUUCCUUCCACUUUGCCUCAUAACUACAGCCCCUGGGUUACAAAGCUACAACAAACCGACAUUAACUAACCUGGCCAGUGGAGAACGUGAGCAGCUGACGUGUGAAAAGGUAACUUGAUCUCACCACUGUCGGUUCAGUUGGUGUGUGUCUGGAUGUUCUAUACUACAUUCACGGAGGACGGAAAUCGGGUCACUGGGGUCUCAAAGAGAGGACGCGGUUCGGGCUGACCAUAGCGUUAAUUAACGCUAAGAUAAUUAUCGCAAGUAGAAAGGCUGUAGGUGUUGCAAGUUACAUCCCACAGACAAACAUUCUCUUGAAGCAGUGGAGGGGGGAGGGCAGAGGAAACAGAGAGAACGGGUUGGGGAAGAAGGACACACAAGGCAUCCCUUGUAGCUUGGCAUCUAGCCUUCACAAGAGUACACUUGUCAUUUGGUGUCUCAGUGCAGCUAUCAAAAACUCUAUUACACGGCCAUGCACAGCAAAGUAACAUUUCCAUCAACGAACACUAGUCCGGCAAGACUAUAAAAGAGCCGAACAAUUCCUAUCGCUUAGUGACGGUGGUCCCAUAAGAUUAUACUGUAGCUAAACACGUCCAAUCACCGAGGACAUUAUAAUAGAGCUAAGUGGUUGCUGUCACCUAGCGGUGUCCUAUAGUAUCAUGAUGCCGCUGAAAAGUAGUCGCAGUUCAGCGCAUUACUCAGGAGUCUGUGAUUAUGCUGGUGUAAACAAACCUACUGAGUAGAAUAAAUGUAUAGCACAUACAGUUAUAUGCAGUAUAUAAUGAUUCAUGAUGAUAAAAUAAAACUACGUUUGUGUCAGCGCACUCUAGGAUGUUCACACAAGGACAAAGUGGACUAAUAACGCAUUUGUCAGAAUGUAUCUCCGUUGUGAAGUGUCUCGUGACUGCAUCAAGUCCCAUUGUUUCUUAGCGUGUAAAGUCUUCAGCACAAAGUAACAGUAAAUUUUAGGAUAGGAUCCGAGUAAUGUGUACAUGUCUACAGCAGCUUACAGGCUGCAGUUCUUCACAAUCUACAGAAGUCUUCAAUAACAUGAACAACAUUUUAUAUCUGUGAUUUGACCAUGUAGUUGACCAUGUAGUCUGUGAUCUGACCAUGUCCCAUAGUUUGUCAUCUUUGCAGAUUCCGAGUUCUCGGUUCUGUCCUACUUUCUAAAUAGUAACUUGCAUUGGCCUUUAAGCAAUGAGUUCCAAGUCUAAGAACUGUAAAUCAUUGUCAUAUGAAUAAGAGUUUUCUUAUCCCAAGAAUAACAUCCAUAACACGUGCAGAAGCACAACCCACAGGGCCGAGUAGGCUGAAAGGGAUUCCAGUGAACACUCGGCAGCAAGGAGACUGCUCCUUCUUUAAUUAGACCAGGUUGCUGCAGCAAAUCUCACUGCCCCUUGCUGAGAGAAAAAGAACUACCUUCUUCAACACUUGCUACGUGAACCCCAACAACACAAAGAACUGCUUUGAGCUCAAAGCUCUGCCAGACAUAUCAUCCGGGCAAUCUCAAUGGAGGCCCUAACAGCAUGCAAAGAAUGCGUGCAGAAACCUACAGACGUCGCCUGAAAAAACAACAAAAAGCAAGCUGCUGCUUCAUAAGGCCUGUAUUGCUGGAUGCAUCCGGGGCAUUCAAUAUGAUAGGUAUCGUCUAACUCCUGGCACAGGCCGACAAAAAGAAAUGUAUAAAGGGGGAAACCAGGUUCUGGCAACUGUCGGGUGGCGGUUCCAAGACUGUUGGCGACUGUCAGGUGGCUGGUCCAAGACGUUAGACAACUGCCGGAUGGUCUCUCUAAGACUGUCAGGUAAUUCAGUCUAAAACUCCGAACGACUAUCCGGUGAUCGGCGUAAGACUGGUGGCGCCGAUAUCCCUGGGCUCACAAGCCAUGACGUGUCUGAAAGCCGACCGGCACGGGUGCGAUGAGACCGGAGGAAAACCCCGGGAUCCUAGGAGAAUGAAAGCCAGCGAACCGUGAACAGCGGAGCGUCUCAAGAAAGGGGAGGGGGACAAAGGGGGUAAAAUUAUCUUGUACCUUGUAUGUAUCGGGGUCUCCGGGUACAUUUUAUAUCUCAUCGUAAGACCACGAUUUGGGGUACCCGACAAGCCCGAGCACAUGCUAAAGUGGAAACGCGAACACACGCGCACACACACGCAGGUAAUAAGAAAAUAAGAGUUUUCUUUCUUGCUAUGCAGGUCUAACCGCCAGGCUCAUUUGUCUCAGCCAGUUCUAAGCUCUACUGUUACCAACCAGCCGUAAAGAAGCCAAAAAACGCGCACGCACGCGUGCCCUGCGCCAACUCCACCUCCUCCCUGAUACCCCUUCCUCACCUCCCCCACCUACCCACUCCAGAAGUAAUGCACGGCGAGCGCCCCUCGGCUAGCUGGCAGCUCUGGGCCUGGCAGCAGGAGAGCCGAGAUGGUGUAAAAUAUAUCAAGUUGUCAUGACAGCAGUCUACAAAUAUACUCCAUGGUGCCCCGCAUUAAUUUCUGGCCGGAUCUCCCGCCCCCUCCCUUGCCUUUCCCCCCUGCCGACUCGCCCAAGCGUGCAGCGCUGUCUCGAGAGUGAUUGCCCUUGUCAUGUUAAACUCUCCACACCUUGCACGCAGAACUAUACCGGCUUUGUUCUUGUCAAGGAAACGGCCAUGUGUAGGGAGAAAAACUUUUCUUUCCUUCCUCCCUAAAAGUAUGCGCCACAACAUAGUUUAUCAUCAAACAUACUUGCAUGACCGCGCGUGCGGAUAGGUGCUAAGCUUAGUUAUGUUUCCAGUGAGAAAUGUGUGUGCUUAUAAAGGCUUUCAACAUUUCUAAAUGAAGCCAGAUUUGUGGAGCUGGUUUGUUUUGUAUUUUUUAAAACUUCUCCAAAAACUACAAAUAAUGCUUUUAAAGUCAACCGAGUUUGUAAGAUGAAGAACUGCCAUGCGUCGUCGUCAGCCCUAUCUACUCAAGAGUGCACCUAAUUCGGUGAGUCACAAAGAGUCUGAUGACUCUCUCGUAUAAUCAGCCUUCUGUCGAAAUUCUUCUGUCAAGAAAAGGAGAUUUUUGAUGAGACAUCACAAACUCAUCAGACGCGCAUGAGCACACAGUCCUGGGUGGAAGCUCUUGUUGCGCAGCAGGAAAUCGCCGGUUUUAAGUUCACCCUGUUAAAAAGUCCCCGUCGCCCCAGCAAAUGGGUAUCUGAUGACAGGCAGCGAAAAAAGGUUUCGGACAUAGACUAUAGAGGUUUUUAACAUAUGCUUAAUUUUGGUUGUAAACGGUAUUAGUGAUGGUACUUGAUUACAGAGUUCUAGUUCCAAUGACUUUGUACGUUGCACAGUUGUCACGCUCGUAAGACCCCGGCAAGCUCUACUUGCAUUAGUUAAGUGACGUAAGCUGGUCAGGUUUGGUCAUGUGACGCGGCAUGACACCCUGUGAAGAUUGUCCUUCAAGGUACCCUAGAGGGUGGCCAGAGAGGUGAGCGGGCCUAGUCAUCUACCGCUUCUAUCAAAGUGCUCCCCGCCCCUCAACUACAGGUACCAGUCAAGGGUGGAAUGACGACUGGCUGGCUAGUUCCACAGCAGCAAACACACCAGCCACUUGUUCUCGGACUCCAGCCAUGCACAUUUAUCCUCACCCACUUCUAAGGUGUCCGAUGACCCAGCAGUUACGCUCUUUGCCACCAACAUAGCGAGAAUCGGCUGGCCUGGAAUCAGAUCAUUUCUUCGGCACGCUCUCCUUUUUCUACACGUGACACCUGUUCACUGAUGCGGCUUCUUCGCCGCGAUUCAGUCUCAAAGACCACCCCACCCCUUCCCUGUUCCCUGCAGACCCUCCUACUUCUUCCUCCUCACCCCCGUGAUUUGAGUCCCAGUGCUUCAGCGUCACAAGAUCUCGCAGUAUCAAUCCUGGCCUGCUGACAGUUUCUUUUUAAAAAAUGAGGUGGGGGGGGGAUUAAGGGCGUCCCCUAAACUUUUAGGGAGUGAGAUAUUGAGACCUCACUUUUCUCAGGGCCAGCUUUACGUGAGGGCGGUGCCCAUCUCUCCUCCCUCGCUACCUUACCUUCCCCAACCCUCUAUUGAGUCAGGUACACACAGGACAAACACUAUCAGGCGCCUGCAAGCAAGCACAGACUAAGAUGGUGAAGUAAGCGGACUUCGUCCCACACAAACAAUUUAAAUUACAAAUUUAAAUUGAAAUAUCCUUCCUCAAUACAAAGCUGUAUUGAUAUGAGUCUGACUAAUAGACGAUGAUUUGUGUUAUUUAAGUCACACACGCAGGCCUCACGCAUUAAUGUUCAGUAGGUACAGAAGACACUAGUUUCUUCUCUGAUGCAGCAUUGUGUCCACUACGCACUGACCUCUUUAAAAGAAAAUAGAAGAAGUUAUCUUUACUGUGCAGCCCGCAAUAUUUGUCACACAAUGUAGACUGUAUAUUCAAUGAAAUUCAGUUGUAAAUGCUAUUCUGUAAGGUGUGUUUCCUAUGUCCUCAUGAAGUUUUACUGUUUAAAAAUAACUUCACUAUGUUUGACACCUUAGGUAUUUCCCGGAAUUUCUAGUGACUUUUUAAAUAACUCAAAUAAAUGUAUAGCUCACAUAUGUAGAUAUAAAUACAAUAUAUAUAUAGAAAGCUAUGCAUUCCAUAACAUAAUAAGUCAACCGAAUGUAAGGUACCCCGGAAGGUGAGAAUAAGUCGAUGAAGGACCUGCAAACCAGUGUGUAAACGUAUGCAUACGUUGAGUAAUAGCCAUGCAACACGUUGACUAAAGAACAAAACCACGU